GCUUGCAUGGUGUAGUUGGUUAUCACAUGUCUCUCACUAAGACAAGGUCCCAGGUUCGAACCCUGGUGCAAGCA
rnacentral:tRNA from 1 species